rnacentral:rRNA from 1 species
GAUGAACGCUGGCGGCGUGCCUAAUACAUGCAAGUCGAGCGAAGCGGGGACGGGUGAGUAACACGUGGAUAACCUCCUUUCAGACUGGGAUAACUUCGGGAAACCGGCGCUAAACCGGAUACUUAUAGAUGGAUCCGCGCUGCAUUGGCUAGUUGGUAAGGUAACGGCUUACCAAGGCAACGCUGCAUGGCCGACCAGAGGGGGUGAGCGGCCACACUGGAACUGUGGCACGGUGCUGACUCCUACGGGGGGAAGCGGUAGGGAAUCUGCCGCAAUGGGCGAAUGCGUGAAAGAGCAACGCGGCGAGAGUGAUGAAGGUCUGAGGAUCGUAAAACUCUGAUAUUAGGGAGGCGGUACCUAGUCAAGAAGCCCCGGCUAACUACGUGCCAGCAGCCGCGGUAAUUC